rnacentral:rRNA from 1 species
UAUACUGUGAAACUGCGAAUGGCUCAUUAAAUCAGUUAUCGUUUAUUUGAUAGUACCUUACUACUUGGAUAACCGUGGUAAUUCUAGAGCUAAUACAUGCUAAAAACCCCGACUUCGGAAGGGGUGUAUUUAUUAGAUAAAAAACCAAUGCCCUUCGGGGCUCCUUGGUGAAUCAUGAUAACUUAACGAAUCGCAUGGCCUUGCGCCGGCGAUGGUUCAUUCAAAUUUCUGCCCUAUCAACUUUCGAUGGUAGGAUAGUGGCCUACCAUGGUAUCAACGGGUAACGGGGAAUUAGGGUUCUAUUCCGGAGAGGGAGCCUGAGAAACGGCUACCACAUCCAAGGAAGGCAGCAGGCGCGCAAAUUACCCAAUCCCGACACGGGGAGGUAGUGACAAUAAAUACUGAUACAGGGCUCUUUUGGGUCUUGUAAUUGGAAUGAGUACAAUUUAAAUACCUUAACGAGGAACAAUUGGAGGGCAAGUCUGGUGCCAGCAGCCGCGGUAAUUCCAGCUCCAAUAGCGUAUAUUAAAGUUGUUGCAGUUAAAAAGCUCGUAGUUGAACCUUGGGCCUGGCUGGCCGGUCUGCCUCACCGCAUGUACUGGUUCGGCCGGGCCUUUCCUCCUGGGGAUCCGCAUGCCCUUCACUGGGUGUGUUGGGGAACCAGGACUUUUACUUUGAAAAAAUUAGAGUGUUCAAAGCAGGCCUUUGCUCGAAUACAUUAGCAUGGAAUAAUAGAAUAGGACGUGCGGUCCUAUUUUGUUGGUUUCUAGGACCGCCGUAAUGAUUAAUAGGGAUAGUCGGGGGCAUCAGUAUUCAGUUGUCAGAGGUGAAAUUCUUGGAUUUACUGAAGACUAACUACUGCGAAAGCAUUUGCCAAGGAUGUUUUCAUUAAUCAGUGAACGAAAGUUAGGGGAUCGAAGACGAUCAGAUACCGUCGUAGUCUUAACCGUAAACUAUGCCGACUAGGGAUCGGGCGAUGUUAUUCUUUUGACUCGCUCGGCACCUUACGAGAAAUCAAAGUC